rnacentral:rRNA from 1 species
AGUGAACGCUGGCGGUAUGCCUAACACAUGCAAGUCGAACGGCAGCACAGUAAGAGUUUGCUUUUACGGUUGGCGACUGGCGGACGGGUGACGCAUACAUCGGCAUCUACUUUUUCGUGGGUGAUUUCGUAAGGCAACUUCUGCUAAUACCUCAUAUUAUCUACCGCUUUAUUCAGGGGUUCUUCGCACCUUUCCCGUUUCUAUUAGCCGGUGUCGCAUUAGCUAGUUGGGUAGGUAAAGGCCCAACAAGGCGACGAUCCGUAGCUUAUCUGAGAGGGUGAUCAGCCACAAUGGAACUGAGACAAGGUCCAGACUACUAAGGGAGGCAGCAGUAGGGAAUAUUCGGAAAGGGGCGAAAGCCUGAAGGAGCAAAGCCGCGUGAGGGAAGAAGGGCUUCGGAUCGUAAAACUCGGUUAUUAGGGAAGAAAAGAUGUGGAAGUAAAACCGGAUGUUCUGACGGUACCCAAAGAGAAAGCAACGGCUAACUUCGUG